CAGGUCUUGCAUGCUGUGACACGAAGGUCUCAUUUCCUGGUGGGCUAUGUUCAUGUUUUGAAAUCAAGAUUGAUUAGGCAACACGAGGAGACCCAGCUGGUUAUGUGACUCAGAGCCCCGUUUGUGAAGCACUCGCUCGUUUUUACAAGAGACAACUGUCCAGAGGAAGAAAUGACCAUGUAGAUUCCACAGCUUGGGUGCAGCAUAAUGGGAAAUGGUGAAUGGAGUGGAGCUGGUCUGCAGCCUUGAGAGCAGCCGUUCUGUGACCUCCAGCCAGUCAGGGACACCCUCCACGCCACGAGCAUCCUCCAGCCGCUCGCCGGACACUCGCGGGAUUCUUUUUAAUUUCUCACUUUGGAAUUCAAGAUUCCUCUCCUUCGAUUUUUAAACAGUUUUAAGAUUGUAUCAACUGCAACGAGUGGAGCAAUAUAACCAAGCCACGAUGGGUGACAUGACAAAUAGCGAUUUUUAUUCCAAGAACCAAAGAAAUGAGGCCAACCAUGCAGGAGAGUUUGGGUGCACUCUGCAGGAACUGCGCUCCCUCAUGGAACUCCGAGGGACAGAAGCAGUAGUAAAAAUUAAAGAGACUUAUGGGGAAACAGAGGGGCUCUGCAGACAUCUGAAGACAUCACCAACAGAAGGUAAGCACUUCUCACUUCGCUUCAAUUAGGGGACUUGGUGUAAAUGCCCUCCAGACAGUGAAAAAAGAGGUUUUGAUUCCAACCCGAACAGAAUUCUCAUGGUGCUGCCAUUAUUCCCUACAAUAAUAAAACAAGAGUCUUCUAAGAAAGCAGGUAAACCAGUCCAGCUAUAGCUAAAGCUGGCACGAGA